UACAGAGGUCUCAAGCGUUUGUUCGGAUUCAUUGGGCGUAAAGGGUGCGUAGGUGGCGCGGUAAGUCGGGUGUGAAAUUUCGGAGCUUAACUCCGAAACUGCAUUCGAUACUGCCGUGCUUGAGGACUGGAGAGGAGACUGGAAUUUACGGUGUAGCGGUGAAAUGCGUAGAUAUCGUAAGGAAGACCAGUGGCGAAGGCGGGUCUCUGGACAGUUCCUGACGCUGAGGCACGAAGGCCAGGGGGAGCAAACGGGAU
rnacentral:rRNA from 1 species